rnacentral:rRNA from 1 species
UACGAAGGGGGCUAGCGUUGCUCGGAAUUACUGGGCGUAAAGCGCACGUAGGCGGCUUUGUAAGUUAGAGGUGAAAGCCCAGGGCUCAACCCUGGAAUUGCCUUUAAGACUGCAUCGCUUGAACAUCGGAGAGGUAAGUGGAAUUCCGAGUGUAGAGGUGAAAUUCCUAGAUAUUCGGAAGAACACCAGUGGCGAAGGCGGCAUCCUGGACCGACAUUGACGCUGAACGGCGAAAGCUAGGGGAGCAAACAGG